rnacentral:rRNA from 1 species
AUACGAACCGGACAAACGUUAUUCGGAAUUAUUGGGCUUAAAGGGUGCGUAGGCGGCGCGGUAAGUGAGGUGUGAAAGCCCACGGCUCAACCGUGGAAUUGCGCUUCAUACUGCCGUGCUAGAGGGAGAUAGAGGUAAGCGGAACUGAUGGUGGAGCGGUGAAAUGCGUUGAUAUUAUCAGGAACACCGGUGGCGAAAGCGGCUUACUGGGUCUCUUCUGACGCUGAGGCACGAAAGCUAGGGUAGCAAACGGGAUUAGAUACCCGGGUAGUCC